rnacentral:rRNA from 1 species
UGGGGAAUAUUGGGCAAUGGAGGAAACUCUUACCCAGCAAUGCCGCGUGAGUGAAGAAGGUCUUCGGAUUGUAAAGCUCUUUGAUUGGGGACGAAACAAAUGACGGUACCCAAAGAACAAGCCCCGGCUAACUACGUGCCAGCAGCCGCGGUAAUACGUAGGGGCAAGCGUUGUCCGGAAUGACUGGGCGUAAAGGGUGUGUAGGUGGUUGAAUAAGUUGGAAGUGUAAUACCCAGGGCUUAACCCGGGUGCUGCUUCCAAAAACUGUUUGACUAGAGUGCAGUAGAGGAAAGUGGAAUUCCUAGUGUAGCGGUGGAAUGCGUAGAUAUUAGGAGGAACACCAGUGGCGAAGGCGGCUUUCUGGACUGUAACUGACACUGAGGCACGAAAGCGUGGGUAGCAAACAGGAUUAGAUACCCUGGUAGU